AUCAGUGUACCAAUAACGGCCUAACAACCGGUAUGAAACACAUUAGACAGCAUUUAACCCAAUGAUAGGUUGUAUAGGGUCUGUAAGUCUCGUUUGGUUUCACUUUCGGUUUUACUACUUCCGGGUACAACAACAUGUGGAAUAUAUUAAGUCAUAACAGAGAAUCGGCGCUAAUAUGUAAUUUGGUGUAUUGUUAAGCGAUCAGCUGCAUACAUGAGACUGGGAAAACCCUGCCAUGUAGUUUAUUUAGGUUCCUAGUCGAUGCUACAGUAAGGAAGCGGUGGAUAUAGUCACGAAACCUGCUGAAGCAGAAGCAUCUGCUUCAAACGUACAUGUAGGAACCGAAGUUGAUACUGCUACCAAUAUAUAUGUACCAGACAACAAUGAAGUGCAUCUACAUGAUCACGAGUAUACAGCACCAAACCCUCAACAUUUAAAAAGCUUCCCUUGAAGACUAGGAUGUUGUAAACUUGCAGUGAGAAAUAUACCUGCUUAAUUAAAGAAAACCAUCCUGGACAAUUGGUAACAUCAUAAUUGAAAGACCCUGGAAAGGGAUCAUGAACACUGUUGGGAGUGUCCAUUCAACUGAAAUAUAAAAGUCAGAAGAAUUGAAGAUUGCAAUGGAUGCAACAGAAGUGACCUAAUAUGACCAAAUUGAUAUGAAUAGCCAGUUUUUCGCUUGCAGUAAUGACAAGAGUCGCCACAAAGAAAAGACCUUAAUGUGUAUUACACCUAAUGCAGCUUAUCCAAUCUGUAUGCUGGAUACAAAUCUAAUUUGGCAAUUGUGAACCAUUGUGGCAUUUUAGAGAAGUUGCAAGUUGGUGAUAUAUUCCUGGCGGACAAAGGAUUUUGUAUAUUUGACAAACUUCCAAAUGACAUGACACUUAAUAUCCCAUUCUUUCUUACAAAUAAAUCCCACUUCUCAAAAGAGGAUGCACAACUUUGCUAUAAAAUUUCCAGAUGCAGAAUCCAUGUUGGAUGGGAAAAUGAGAGAAUAAUUUUUUUUUUAAAUUCCUUAGCCAUAUUCUAUCAUAGUAUAGAUAUUGAUCUGACAAAAUAUUUCAGAUUUGUGUGGAUCUUGUGAAUUUGCAGGUUCCCCUUUUGAAGAAGAUUGCAGAUAAAUCCUACAAACUUAUUACAUUAAUUGCAUGUAUAUAUAUACCUUAAAUAUGCACAUACCUGCCACAUUGAAUUUUUAAAGUUAAAAGUAAUGAAUACCAUAUAUGCAAUAUAACUUUUCUACAUAUUUAUAUAAAUAUAAAGCCUUUUAUAUUCAUAUCAAUAUAAAGCCCUUUGGAACGUCUCCAUCAGAAUGAAAUAUUCUCUAGAGGAACGUUAAACAAUAUACAAUCAAACAUAAAGCCUUUUGUUCUCAUUCUGAAGAUUUUCAAAUCUGCAUUAUUAAGAAAGAAGUAAAAUCCAUUGUUUUAGUAAAUGCAUGUAAUUGAAUGAUUUUUGUAAAGCUGGACACUGUGUCUAUACAUACAUGUAUUUUGGUUCAUCUAAAAUAAGAAAAACUCUGUCUAUAAUGUUUAUUCAAUAAAUAUACAUGUAAUUACAUAACUUUGAUAGAUGCACCACUGAUAUCAUAAUAAAGUAUAUGUACAUGUG